rnacentral:lncRNA from 1 species
UCAACAUAGAAGCCAACUCAAGAUGACCUUGGCUGGCGUUAACUAGUACUGAAAUUCAAUCGACUUCUACAUCAGGCUAUUAAUGAGUACACUAUAUUGCAGUUGGUAACCCAGAGAAGACAAAGCCCAAGGGAGGACGUUGUUAAGUGCGCCAUGGAGCAAGCAGAGGGAUGAGACGGCAUGCAGCAACCUGAGAUCUCAUGCAGACUUGCUGAACAAAACUCCAACAAAAUUUCCACAAGAAAUAAAGGGAAGAUUACCCGAAGUGCC